AAUAAGUUUAUUUGUGGGUCUGUGUCUAAUAUUUGACCGACCGACCAUCUUAUUUAAAUUCUUUUAUAAUUAAUAUUUUUUAUUGUUAUUAGAUGAUAAUAACAUAAAUAAUACUUUAUACGUGAUUUUUUUUAUUUUUUUUAAAUAAAAUUUUUAAAUAAGACGGACGGUCGAAUGUUGGACACAGAAACCCACAAAUAAACUUAUU
rfam:Oryza nivara chromosome 3, whole genome shotgun sequence.